GGAUGUGAGGGCGAUCUGGCUGCGACAUCUGUCACCCCAUUGAUCGCCAGGGUUGAUUCGGCUGAUCUGGCUGGCUAGGCGGGUGUCCCCUUCCUCCCUCACCGCUCCAUGUGCGUCCCUCCCGAAGCUGCGCGCUCGGUCGAAGAGGACGACCAUCCCCGAUAGAGGAGGACCGUUCUUCGGUCAAGGGUAUACGAGUAGCUGUGCUCCCCUGCUAGAACCUCCAAACAAGCUCUCAAGAAGAGCACUGGAUCAGGGCCUGGGGAUAUAGUUUUUGAUAGUGCAUCCACGCAGCAUGCAUGAGGCUCUGGGCUGGAUUCU
rnacentral:snRNA from 1 species